rnacentral:rRNA from 1 species
UACGGAGGGUGCAAGCGUUAAUCGGAAUUACUGGGCGUAAAGCGCGCGUAGGCGGUUUGAUAAGUCGAUUGUGAAAUCCCCCGGGCUCAACCUGGGAAUUGCAGUCGAGACUGUCAGACUAGAGUGUGGGAGAGGGUGGUGGAAUUCCCGGUGUAGCGGUGAAAUGCGUAGAUAUCGGGAGGAACAUCAGUGGCGAAGGCGACCGCCUGGCCCAACACUGACGCUGAGGUGCGAAAGCGUGGGUAGCAAACAGG